GACGAACGCUGGCGGCGUGCCUAAUACAUGCAAGUCGAACGCUUCUUUCCUCCCGAGUGCUUGCACUCAAUUGGAAAGAGGAGUGGCGGACGGGUGAGUAACACGUGGGUAACCUACCCAUCAGAGGGGGAUAACACUUGGAAACAGGUGUAAUAUCGCAUAACAGUUUAUGCCGCAUGGCAUAAGAGUGAAAGGCGCUUUCGGGUGUCGCUGAUGGAUGGACCCGCGGUGCAUUAGCUAGUUGGUGAGGUAACGGCUCACCAAGGCCACGAUGCAUAGCCGACCUGAGAGGGUGAUCGGUCACACUGGGACUGAGACACGGCCCAGACUCCUACGGGAGGCAGCAGCAGGGAAUCUUCGGCAAUGGACGAAAGUCUGACCGAGCAACGCCGCGUGAGUGAAGAAGGUUUUCGGAUCGUAAAACUCUGUUGUUAGAGAAGAACAAGGACGUUAGUAA
rnacentral:rRNA from 1 species